GACGGAGGAUGCAAGUGUUAUCCGGAAUCACUGGGCGUAAAGCGUCUGUAGGUGGUCAAAUAAGUCAACUGUUAAAUCUUGAGGCUCAACCUCAAAAAUCGCAGUCGAAACUAUUCGACUAGAGUAUAGUAGGGGUAAAGGGAAUUUCCCAGUGGAGCGGUGAAAUGCGUAGAGAUUGGAAAGAACACCGAUGGCGAAGGCACUUUACUGGGCUAUUACUAACACUGAGAGACGAAAGCUAGGGUAGCAAAUGGG
rnacentral:rRNA from 1 species